rnacentral:rRNA from 1 species
UGGGGAAUUUUGGACAAUGGGGGAAACCCUGAUCCAGCCAUCCCGCGUGUGCGAUGAAGGCCUUCGGGUUGUAAAGCACUUUUGGCAGGAAAGAAACGUCAUGGGUUAAUACCCCGUGAAACUGACGGUACCUGCAGAAUAAGCACCGGCUAACUACGUGCCAGCAGCCGCGGUAAUACGUAGGGUGCAAGCGUUAAUCGGAAUUACUGGGCGUAAAGCGUGCGCAGGCGGUUCGGAAAGAAAGAUGUGAAAUCCCAGAGCUCAACUUUGGAACUGCAUUUUUAACUACCGGUCUAGAGUGUGUCAGAGGGAGGUGGAAUUCCGCGUGUAGCAGUGACAUGCGUAGAUAUGCGGAGGAACACCGAUGGCGAAGGCAGCCUCCUGGGAUAACACUGACGCUCAUGCACGAAAGCGUGGGGAGCAAACAGG